rnacentral:sRNA from 1 species
CACACACACACACACAACUUUCUCUAACCAUCAUAAUAGCUAUUGUCUUCCCUUGCCCGUUUCUUUCAACAGAUGUGUCCGUUUUUAGUUAAUGCAAAGGAAACGGCAGCUUUUAAAGGCAGCCUUUUGCAGUGGGGGGAAAGCUGUAUUAACUGUAAAAACCUUUUAGUUGCGCAAUUUUGAUAUUGGGCCUCACCUCCCCAGACAUUGCUUUCCUGUGUCUGCGUUUCUCUUUAAGCUCUUAGAAGGGAUCGCUCAGGGGUCAGCAAAGGUGCAGCUCAUAGCUGCGGCAGCAACAACAACAGCUGAGACACUUUAGUUGGAGUGACCUUGCCUGGGGAAUAGCAGCGAGAGAAGCCUCAGACAAAGUAGCAUUUGUGCGUUCAAAAGCGCUCUCGGAUGAUUGUCGUGUUAACCUGUACUCAGGACGCUAAUGGUGUUUGUCUUGGCCAUGGGCCAAAUCAAAGCAGAUUGAAAACACGGAGCCUGGGAAACAACAGCAAACGCAUUCAGAUGGUCUCAGAUGCCGUCAGUCCACAGGUUCGCAAAACCGAAGUCACAGAGCUGCAGUGGGGCAGAGCCUCAGCUAUAAACCAACCUAGGGCGAAUCCACGUCACAGAGAAACCUUGUGCGUCUGAAGUGUGGGGAAAUCUCCAUUGCGUGGUCCUCAGUCGUUUGGUGUGGGGGACACUUUUUCCAGAAUGCUGGCUCCUGUGUCCGCUACUGGGUAGAAAUCUCAAGGACUGAGGUCAGGAACCAUUCCCUGGAUGGCAGUGGCUGGCCUGAAACCACCUCACAUCUAAAAACCUCACUCAUUAAAUAGUGAGUGAACCUAUAGGACCUAUCCAACGGAUUAUAUUACCAAAAUUACAAAUCUCUCUCCUGGACAGCGAAGUACUACAAAUGCAAUUAGGAUUCUACAGGAUUCUCUGGGAGUUUAUCAAUGGGACAGGGGCAGCCCAAGUUGUAGACCCCUCAAUACCAUAUGGCUCAACCUUUGUCACCUACAGGACAGCAAUCCUCUUGGUGGGUUAUACUCUUGAUAUUCAUAUACCAGAUUAAGGGGAAAUCUUACAACAGACAGCUUUUUUUUUUUACCAUCCCCCCGUCUAAACAGAACCAUGUACUCCUCGAGAGGGGGCUGGCUAUGGUGCAAACGCUCAGACUCUUCCACAGCAGGAAGCAUAAUUCCCUGCCCCCACUUUAACCGGAGCUGGUCACCUCUUGAGAGAGAAGAUUGAUGAUCAAACGUGUUGAACGCCAACUCUGAACCAUGUCUUCUGCUAAGUUCCGAGAGACAGGACGACAUUCAAGACACCCAGUAUCUGCGUCUGUCUCUCUGAUAAGCAAUUCUCACCAACUAGGAAAUACAGUUCAACACACCCACCUACCAACGUCUGAAUAUGAAUGUCGAGAAUUUUCCACAAGUUCUUCCUGCCGAUGAGACAUUCCAACUAGCCACAGUCUUCUCUACUCUCUGGUUGAACGAACUCAUAGAACAAGUGUGGUGGUUGCCGGUAUCUCCUGGGAGAGGUUUUCAAACAGCUUGGAUUUCAGUGUAAUUGGUCUGAUAGUUAACUCAGGUAUAGGGAGUUUUAGCAUUCCCUGAGUGAUUUCAGUGACUUUGCAAUAUCACUACUAGGUCUGCAUCCAUUUGCCCGUGACUGUUUCCAAAGAGUAGGCUGUACCACUGCCCGGAAACGUGUUCUCCAUCCAUGCCUGUCUCGCCUCCACUCUCCAGACUCAUGCUAGCAUGUGGGUACUCCAUGUGUUUGACAAAUGAAUUGGACUGAAACAAUAUUUACUAACAUCCAGAAGUGAUCUGUUUUCCUGGAAGGCCGAAGACUUCAGGAAAAAUACCACAGAGCUUAUAUUAGGUUUCUAUUGUUGCCAUAAUAAAUCAGUACCAAUUUAGGGGCUUGAAAGCUGCACCCAUCCGUUAGUGAUCUCACAGUUCAGCCGGUCAGAAGUCUAUUGUUGCUUUUCCCAAAGUAGAAUCAGGGUGUCAGUGGGCCUCAAGCUGCAGGCUCAUGGAGAAAACCUGCUUCUAGACCUAGUCAGUAUUCAGUGGCAUCUACAGGGCACUGUCUCUGACUCCUUCGUGGUUGAUAACCAGAAAGGAACCAGAGUUCACCUAUGUUCUCCCACCUUCUAUGCUUGUAGUGGUGGGGUGGGCUCUCAAGUUUCUAGUCUCUGUGAUCUCAUCUGUGAGCUCCUCGUCCCUUUUUGUCUUUGUCACAUCUUACUGACCUACUCACCUUCCCUUUCUGCACACAAACCCAGACUAAUCCUGCCAGGCCACCGGGAUAAUUUAGGAUAAUCUCCCUGUUUAGAGUCUGAUGAUUGGUCGCCUUACUUCUCUCUGCAAAGACUCUUUACAACAGCAGAAUGUAGGUUAGGGUGAGAUCCAACGAGCAGGGGAUAAGAAUCCUGGGGGUGUCUUUAGAAUUCUGCCUACUGGGAGGGCACAUAAGUGAGAACACAGAACCCCCAUGCAGACGGUAAAGUGCUGGAGGUCAGGGCCAUCCACGGGAGUAGAUGACUGGUUGGAAGUGACAGCAAAUCUAGGGAGAGUGGGUUACUGUUUAUUUGGGGACUUUCAGUUUACAAAGAGCUUGGCUCAGGUUGUAUUAGAUGUUUGAAUGUUGGGCUCAGCGUGCAGGGUGGGCAGCGGAUCUCAGAAGUGCUCAGGGACGGCUGCUGAGAGCUGAGUAGCCAGGAGGCUUCUAGCAGGGCUGCAUCCUCUCACUUCCUGUAAGCUGAGUUGCUCUUAGAAAAGGAUGGAUUUUCCUUCUGGCUGCAGAAUUCAGCGUUAUCAAGGCGAGCUAUAUGAUCUCAGCAAGAACUCUGCCGCCCUAAGAAAAUAUUAGCAUCGAGAAACAAGCUGGGCGGUUGACGUGGAGGUAUUUCCUCGAGAGAAGACCCCAGCUUCCCGGAUUUUCUUCUCUUGGACUGUGGGUCCUGAGGUCUCCCUGCGGGAGGAGCAGGGAGGAAGGAGGAGCAGGUGGCAGCCAGGGCAGCGGGCCAGGGGAAGGUGUGGGGAAGAGCAGCCCGCAGCUGUCUGCAGCCGGAGCCACGCGCGCGCACGUUUGCAUUAGUGGUCAGCACCGGGAGGUUUUCGCAGCACGACAGAGGAGGGGGUGGAGGGAUGAGGGAAUCAUCGAUCGAUCGCUGCGAGCAGAGAAUCUGCAGGAUGUGAGAGGCCUGGUGCUGUGGCUUCCGCUCUCACACAUCAUCAAGCCUCGUUCGAGAUGGUUUGAAUUAAUGACACUUCUUCAGACAGACAGAGUAGGUAAAUGGAAAUGUUAGACCGGCUUUUCACCUUCCUUGCUCGACACUUCCAGUUACCUUGGGUGCUGGAAACUCUCCACCCUAGCCUGCCUCCAGGCAAGUCCUAAAGCAUUACAGUCAUGACAAUUUUCUAACACUGGGUCCUACAGGGUCUUAAGUAAAGGCACGCCUGAAAUGUCCUUUGAAGCACUGUAUCCCUUGGCUGCCUGCUGGACCCAGAGCCUGCAACCAUCAGCCGUGCCCUAGUUACAGGCAGACUUAACCCACGAGAAGGAAGAAGCUCUGGAUCAUUGGUUCUAUAGGACAGCCAGCACCUAAGCACCUUGUCUUAGCCGGGACAAAAGUCCUUCGGAGUUCACAGCUAGAAGCUGAAGCCUGCAAGGUAUCCUUGCCAGCUUCUGGUCUGUCCAGCUAUCCCAGGCCCUGCCCGCUCCUCCGUCUGGCUCUGAGAAAUGGCUCCAGGACCCUGAUCCUUUUGAUUUUUCUGUGUACAGAGGAGCAGGAGACAGUUGGACCUGGAGUCAUGUGUCCAGACACCAACCCAGGUUUCCUGUCCAUCCUAGCUGUUGACCUUGAGGGGUUUACCUCACUAGCCGGUGUUUUAGCUGUUACCCCUGUGCAGAAAGAAUACUAAUAAAAUAUAUUAGUAAAUUA